rnacentral:misc_RNA from 1 species
AACGCACCUUGCGCCCUUUGGCUAUUCCGAAGGGCAUGCCUGUUUGAGUAUCAUGAACAUCUCAACUCUCAUGGUUUGCCAUGAUGAGCUUGGACUUUGGGGGUCUUGCUGGUCUAUGGCCAGCUCCUCUCAAAUGGAUCAGCUUGCCAGUGUUUGGUGGCAUCGCAGGUGUGAUAACUAUCUACGCUUGUGGUUUUCCACUGGGUAACCUUCAGCAAUGGAGGUUCGCUGGAGCUCAUAAACGUCUCUCCUCAGUGAAGACAGCUUUUUGAACGUUUGAUCUCAAAUCAGGUAGGACUACCCGCUGAACUUAA